GUGCCUGUAGCUCAAUUGGAUAGAGCGUCAGUCUUCGGAACUGAAUGUUGCUGGUUCAAUUCCAGCCAGGCACA
rnacentral:tRNA from 1 species